GAAAUGCGAUAAGUAGUGUGAAUUGCAGAAUUCAGUGAAUCAUCGAAUCUUUGAACGCACAUUGCGCCCUUUGGUAUUCCUUAGGGCAUGCCUGUUCGAGCGUCAUCUAAACCUUCAAGCCCUGCUUGGUGUUGGGUGCCUGUCCCGCCUCCGCGCGCGGACUCACCUCAAAUCCAUUGGCGGCCCCCGCGUCGGCCACGAGCGCAGCAGAAACGCGAACUCGUGAGCCCGUCCGGGGGGCUCCCAGAAGCUACACCCACCCAGUUUGACCUCGGAUCAGGUAGGGAUACCCGCUGAACUUAAGC
rnacentral:misc_RNA from 1 species